GUGUUCAGGAUGUUUUUAGCGUUUCGUGACAUGGAGGACUGCGCGGUGUCAGAUCAGUAAAUGAAAUGUGUUUUCUUUGAGUUAUAAGUGAAAUAGAGUAGAACAUAGCGUGGAAAUAGGCGACUCAAAUGAGAUUUUGUUCCAGUGAAAUUUCUGCCGUGCAAAUCGCUCGUGAAAACAAAGAUAAGAAAUGUUUGGUGUUUACCUAAAAAUGUAUUGAUAAAUGGAGCCGCUGCAAAGCCUGCAAUUGGAGGACUCUAGUUAUGACUUUCAGUGGAUUAAUGUCAGGUUGGAUAUUCAUCUUGCGCCAGGGAAACACUAUUCUCUAGAAGAGGCUUCUCAAAGGAGCACCAAUGAAACCACGAAAACUCAGAAAAUUUGUCUUUAAAAAACGUUUAUCGUCUAAGCGAAUUUGAUUUCUACAGUGUCAACCACUUUAAAUGUGCACCGCAAUCACACCUAUUGAAUUGUGGCCACAAUGCGUUUCCAUACAGCUUAGUAUUGCAGAUUUCCCUGUAGUUGAAGAAAGUAAAUAUCCUAUAGGGGAUGCUAAUACCUUAGGGGUAACGGUUGCACACCAUCCCUGAUUUCAAACAGUUUCCGCAGGAAGACCAUUGCGCUAAAAGGGAAGAAGGAGCAACAAAUCUAGUGCAUUGGGACGGAAAUCCAGCAAAGUAAACUUUAGAUACGAAAUACCAAUUUCAUUUGUUAUGAAAUAUUAAUUGCGAUCCUAGCAAGCGCGUGCUCCAACGCGAACAUUUAUUCAUAUAAAGCGGGAAAACUAUUCUAAAAACCAUUACGGCACCAAAUUAUCACGAUCAGACUAAUGCACUCAGUAUUUCAAAACGUUAAUGGAUUACCUUCUCCAUCUUCGUACAUUGCUUCCACGUUUUCCUUCGCCGAACCAGCUUUGUUGAUAUUUCAGACGAAAUACCGCGGUAUACUGACGAGAAGUCUUUAUUGGAUAGCGAUGUGUGCGUUUACAUAAUGGUGAAAAUCCUAUUGUGAAAAUUGUGUGCUCUUCUUCUUGUUGGAGUGAUUGGAAAAUAUGAGCUUUGUGGUUUUGUUGCGAUAAUUAAAAAUAGCAAUAAAUGAAA